UGUAUCGAGUUGGAGUUCGCUUGCGAUUUCUCUUGUGCGCCCAUAGCAGCAGCAGCAGCGGCAGCGAACUCCUUUCUUUAAGAUUCAAAUUCAAAAAUUUCCAGAUAAAUUCAACAAGGCUGGUCACAAUUAACUAUAAACAGGUGAGAUUUGGGUUUAUAAUGGAGAGGGAUAGCAUGCAGUAUCGAAAAUUUAGAGCUUCGGGGAUCAAUAGCGAACCCUAACUGCCAUGAAAUAGCAAAAACCAACCUUCGAUUUUUCUCUCUCCUUUUUUUUUUUUAUUAAUGUUGGUGCUGGUAUUCGGGUUAAUUUAUAUAUAGCUACACUAAUCUUAUAAAUUUUAAAAUUAAUAAUAUUAUAUGCUUUACAGUGAGUAUUAUAUUAGCUUUUUUUAUUAAUGUUGGUGCUGGUAUUCUAGCUUGAUUAAUCUUAUAAAUUCUAAAAUUAAUAAUAAUAUAUCCUUUAUUAGCAAUCACAAGCUUGAUUGUGGAAAAAUAUAUAAGUUUAUUAUUGCCCUUAUUUUGUGUAAAUUUUACGGAAUAGCCAUGGACCUUUAAUUUGUCUGCGCGCAUUUUUUCGGAUGAAAAAUCAUGAGUGAUCCCUCAAGUUUCAACAUUCGGUCAUCUGAUUACUUGUGUUUUAUCAAAUUGAGGUUGUUGCUGAUGUAUCCAGUUAUAUAAAUAUCAAGCAAAAAUAAAUUUAUUUUUCCUGCCCGUGAUUUUAAUCUUUUAUCAACUAGCCGCGGACCCGUGUUGGGCUGAGGAACCGGUUUUUUUUCUUCAUAAAAAAUGAUGAUCAGGAGUUAUAGACACGAAUAAAAAAAAUAAGACAGGUAUGUGAUUUAAUUCAUGGACUUGAUUGAAAGAAAUAAGUUCACUUUACUUUAAUUGAAUAAAAAAAAUCAAAAACAAUAGAUUAAUUAAUUAAAUAAAAUGAUCACUAUAAUUGUGAACAAAAAUCUAAAAAGGGACAAUGACAUAGUUAAUUUUCAACUCAUGAGACUCGUCUAAAAAAUAACUUAAAAAAUCAACUUAUAUUAACAAGAUAAACUUAUAACCUCGGUGAUUAGGGUCAACCCAAUCCAAGUUAUUUCGUUAAACUCCGAUCGGGAUAACCCAGAACAAAAGAAAAUCACAGAACUCAAAGUUUUACAAAACGAUUAAAAAAAAUAAUAAGGUUCAAAGUAAAAAUCACCAUAAAUUAAAUGACAAUUUUGAGAUUUUGCAUUGAUGACCGGAGUUGAGAGAAUAAGAGAGAAGAAAGGAGGGAAGGAAAGUGUGCCUGGCAAUAAACCGAGCCACCAACAACCAUACACACCACCCCAUAUGAAAGACUACAUAACAACACUUAUAGUAACGUUAUGGAAAAAAGAUUUUGAUCGUCAGGUUCAUCGUAUCCAUCACCUGAAUGAUACAAACACCCCUGACUCUAAUACGCCAGCGCAUGUGUAGCGUGCACUUAUAACUAUUUAUAUUAUAUUAUUUUUAUAUACAAUAAAAAAUAAAAUUGCUUCUAAGUUAAUUUGAUAAUAGCAAAAAAAUUCACUGUAAAAAAAAAACAAAAAUACUUUUUAGCACCAAUUUAUAUUUUUUUAAAAAAAAUAUUUUAAUCUAUUUACUAUUUUUUUAUUUUCAGUCUUGUUUAGUUGUUGUUAGUUUUUUAUAUAAAGGUGUUAUUACUCACACCAUACUGUCCUAUUUUAACUUGUUACAUUUUGUAUUUUUUUUAAUUAAUAUGAAUAUUCGGGUCAACUUAUAUAUACUUUAAUUAAUCUCAUGAGUUAUAAAAUUAAUAACCACAUAUCUCUUUAUUAUUAAUUAUUGUAGAGUUGUUCAUGGUUCGAUGUCAUUUGUUUUUAUUCAAAUAAAUUAUAGUUGAAUGAUGGAGGUUAGUUAUCCUGAUUCUUAUCAUAUUCUUAAUUUUUAUGAUUUCAAUACUAGUUUUUUAUCUUUCGCUAAUUUAUCUCUUUCAUGAUAAAAAAUAAAUAAAUAAAAUUGAUAGGGUUUAUAUACGCAAUUUUACAUUCUAAUCGACACAUCACAAUAUUUAUACAUCACAAUAUUUUAUUUUAUUCGACAGUAAACUAGAGGGUCAUCAUUAUCAUUACAUUAAUGUAAUUAAACUUAAUAUAUUAUCAUUUUCUUAAUUAAAUUGAUGAUAAAAAAAAACAAAACCAGGUUGAAUUACACAUCCAACAAUAUUAAUUUAUAUUAUAGAAUUGAUAGCACCGGAAUUAUAAUUUUGACUCUAGUCAUUUUCUCAAUUGAUUUUUCUUACUAUUUACCAUUUAAUUAAUUAGAAAAUAAAUUUUUUAAUUUAUUUUAAUUUAAUUUAUAUUAGAUUAUUCUAAUUCAUGACUCUAUUUGAUAUGUUAAACUCAUAUCGAUUAGAUAUGUUAUUAUUUUAAUGUUUUUUUUUAAUAUCAUAAUCAAUUUUUUUAAUAAAACUAUAUCGUUAUUGAUCGUUAUUUCUAUAUCUAUUAAAUUAACCGAAUCAUAUUAAAUUAACUUACAAGCAGGUUUUUUUACUAAGAAAAAUGGUAAUAAUAUCUAAAUAUUUUAUUUAUAUUAAAAAAAAUAUUAUGGCCUCAAGCGUAACAUUGAUGGCAUUAGUUAAAAAUUUUGUGGAAGACUGGCAUUGAGAAAACGGUAUUGGUAAAAGUACGAAACUCAUGCUCAGCCCUUUACUUUUCUUUCUCGCGAUCCAACCACGCAAGGAAGGUCUGAGGGGUGGAUCCCUUUUCUUACCGCGAUGAAAUGUCACAUACAAAGCUUCCUCUCGCUGGCAAAUUGCAGCACGUGUAAUUUACUCCUUGGGUGAGUUUCUGCUUUCCACACAAGGACUUUUAGGUGACAGGACGGUGACAGUUUGAACCAAUCAUUGCAGAACAGGUAAACACGUGAAUAGAGUUAGCCCCGAAACAAAUACGUGAGCAGACAUGUGAUAUUAGUGACGAGGGGGUCAUCAGAGUGACGGAGAAGUGCCACGUUGGAUGACACGAUAGACUGUUGUGUUGAACGGUCACGGUUUAGAGAGAAGGGGAUCCUUUUGGUCCUCUUGAGAGUACAGAGCCACUGCCGCUCUGCCUGGUAGACUGGAGAGUCUAGCACGGGCAAUGUGCGUGGGCUUGGCUUGAAAGGCCGAAACGUGCCCGGUGCUGAGGCUCUUGUCCCUUUUAAAAAAAAAACAUUCUAGUAUAAAAUUCUUCCUAAACAAAUAGAAACAGUGAUACUUAAACAGUUAAACCAUCGGAGCAAGAAAAAAUAGUUAGGGGAGUCAAAUUAUAAAUUAGAAGACCAAAAAAAAAAAUUCAGUUAUUUUUAUUAAAAUUAUAAAUAUUUAUAAGAGAUGGGCAUUUUCUUGCAGGGCCCAGCCCCCCCUCCCUCCACCACUGCGUCUAUGUCAUUUUUUCUUGAAUAUUAGAGAUUUUCAUGGUUUUUUUUGUAUUUUUUAAAAAUCAUUAUGCAUGAAACUAUACUAACAUUUUUUUCAAAAACUUUUCACAUAAAUAUUUGACGAGAAUAAUAUAUAUAUAUAUAUAUAAUUGUUUUUUUAACAAUUUUUUGUAUUGUUUCAUCGAGUAAAUUGUUCUUUUAUUUUUAAUAUAGUCAUAUAAAAAUUAUUGAACCAUGAUUGAACCAUGAUUUUUUUGUUUAUUUGUUAAAAAAUGCUUUAAAAUCAUGGUAAGUUUUUAUUUGAAAAAUCAUGUUUAUUGUUAUGCUAGGGUAAAAAAAAAAAGAAUCAGGAAACAAAAAAGGCCAUACGAUGAAAGAAAUACAUGAUUUUUUUUAAUUUAAAUCAUUUAAACUCAUCUGAUUAUUUUAAUUGCGUAUAAGUUUUUAUUCAAAUAAAAAAUUCAUGAUUUCAUCAAUAUAAAAAAAAUGCAUGGACAGAAAAAAAAUCUUGACGGGAGAAAUGAUGCAGUUUUUGCCUGGGAAUCUAAACAAUUCAGAUUAUUACGAGUAUUUAUUUUUAUUUCCACAAGAUGAAGUAAAUAUACAUAGGUUUUGGGAAUGACCCAACGAGCCCGUGUAGGCAUGAAAACUAGUUAGACAUGUACUACAAGUAUGUUUUCCUAUAUAAAUGAAAUAAUUGUAAAUUUUGCUUAUAUUUUUUAAUAUGACAGUGACAAAAUUAUAUUUUUUUUUUAGAAAAUGAGUUUUUUUAUUUUUUUUCUCUUCGCACUUAAUUUUUUUUUAAUCAUUUUACACAAUUUUCUUCUUGUCUUUAUUUUUUGUAAUAUUUUUUUGGUUUUUUUUUUCAAAUAUUGUUUUUUACUCUUCCAACAUUUAUUACCUACACUUAGCCUAUAUGAUUCUCUUUGUUCUUAUCUUUAUUAUCUUGUAGUUUCUUUUUUUACACCUUUUGUUUUUUUUUCAAAUUAUUAUACAAAAACUAAGAAAAUUGUGUUUAUUUAUAGCAAUUGUAACACUGUUUUACUCUCCUACUACAUUAAAAAUCAGCUUAAUAUCUUACAAGUUUUUAUUAAUUCAUGUGAUUUUUACUAUGUCAUGUUAUAUGCAGAUAUCGACUUUUUAAUUCACAGUUAUAUUUUUUACUCGAUGUCAAAAACUAUGUUAAUAAUAUCUACGCAUGAUCAAUUCUCCCUGUAUAAAAAAAAUGAUGUUUCCAUGUAUAAAUGACAUAAUUGUAAAUUUUGCCAGUUUUUUGUUUAUUGUAGCGGUGGUAAAAUUGUAUUUUUUUUAGAAAACAAGUUUUUCUUAUAUAUUUUUUCUUUAUACUUGGCUUUUUUAUAAUUUUACACUUGGUCUAUUUAUCACUAUUUUUUUAAUAUUUUGUUUUAGAUUUUCUUUUUUUUUUCUCUACGUUUUUUUUUAAAUAUUAUUUUUCUUUUAUAUUUAUUCUUUUGUUUUUUUUUUCUAUACUCUAUAGUCUAUACCUGGCUUAUUUAUACAAUUCUUUCUCUUUUUUUAGCGGGUCAGGUAAUUUUCUUUUUUUUCUCUACUCUAUAUUUGACCUAUUUAUACAAUUCUUUCUCUUUUUAUAUUUACUUUUUUGUAAUUUAUUUUUUAAUUUUUUCACUUGCACUUUUUUUUUAAAAAAAUAUUAUACAAAGACCAAGGAAAAAGUGUUUCACUAUAAUAAUUGCACCAUUAUUCUACUUUCUUACUAUGUUAAAAAUUAGCUCGAGAUCUUGCGCGUUUUUAUAAACAAAUAUGAUAUUUACCAUAGUUUAUUAUAUGUAAAUAUCGACUUUUUGAUUGACGUUGAUAUUUUUUAUCCGGUAUAAAAAAUAAUAUUAAUAACACUUACAUAUUAAUUCUUUUGUAUUAUAAAUAAAAUACUCAAUUUAUAGUAAGGCGAAUUGAAUAAACAUGUUAACACUUAGUUUCUUAUAUUUAUUGACAUACAUAGUUCUCGAUAUAUGUAAUUAAAUGCACAUAUAAGUUUUUUAAUUUAUAAUUAUAUAUAUGAUAAAAAAUAACACAUCUGAAAAAGCUUAUAUAUUUGUUUUUUUAUAAAUAAAUUAUUCUAUUUAACAAAACCCGAGUCGAAUAUAAUGAUGUUUUAGUGUUUAUAUUCAACUAUUCAUACAAACAUGUACCGUUAUGGACGCAUUUUGCUAUUUAUUAAAUAUUCCCUUGCAGCCAGGAUGCUUUUUAACAUUUACAACUCGGCAUUGCAGUUUGUUUCUCUUACAAUUCAUUGUCAGGACGUUGAAAGAUGAGAGAUAGGUGACAUCAGAGAGGUAAGAAAGAGAAAACUCAAGCUGGCUAUGUUAUCGCAUACAAAUCAUUAAUAGUGGCGUGGUUUGGCUCUUCUUUAACAGAGAAGAUCCGUCGAUGAUGACUGAAGCCUCCACGAAGCUGAAAAAGGUCAAUCGAAGGUAGCUGAAAACAAAAAUAAUUCAUGCUACUUUUAGUACACAAACAUCAUCCAAACCACCUAUCUCGUGUCACCUACGAGUAAUGUUUGAAAAAAAAGUUUCAAUUUUUUUUAAUUAAAAUUUGAUUUUUUUUUUUUGAUUAAUUGUUUUAAUAUUUUUUCAUUAAUUUGAUUAGUUAAUAUUAAAAAUAUUAUUUUAAUAUAUUUAUAAAAAAAUAAUUUAAAAUCCCGUAGUUAAUCAAAAUAGUCCCUUCACAAUCACAACAUUUUACCUUUUUUUUCUUCUUUUUAUUUUUGCAAGAUUGAGAUAAAUAAUUUUUUUUCUUUUAUAACUAUUUUUUUCUUUUAUAGCUAUUACAAAUAAUGAAAAGAUGAAAAGAUUAAAGGAGACUGCAAAAAGGCUUUUAUAGAGCUGUUAUUUUGUUGACGGGUUGCAACCUAAAUAACGUUGCAACCGCUACUAGAUUGUUUGAGAGUAUAAUAACAGUUAUUUUUCAAAUUGAUUUUUGUUUUAAAAUAUAUUAAAAUAAUAUUUUUAUUUUUAAAAAAUUAUUUUUAAUAUUAGUGCGUUAAAAUAAUUUGAAAACACUAAAAAAAAUAUUAAUUUGAAGUAAAGAAAAAAAUAAAAAAUUUUAAAAUUAGUAGAAAAAAUCUUGCUGUGCAGAAAAUAAAAUUAACAGAGAAUGAACAAUCAAUCAUGUAAACUUCACCAUAAAGUCAGAUGCACCCUCCAGUACAAGGAUCCAAUUUUACUCCCUAUCAGCACCUAGCCAGACAGAUUUAGACAAGACAAAAUGAUAUGUUGAAUGAUUACAAGAUGCAAAUUCAACCACUCUUGGUAAGCAUGCUUCAACUCCCAUCUCCAGAAUAUUCACAAAUCAGCUUCAGAAUCUACCUCCAAUGACAUUAAACCACAUUUUCCUUCUGUUUCAGUUCAAUACACAAAAAAUUGGACUUGAGAAAGAAGAAAAAUCCCACAGUAAAAAUUUCAAAUAUUAAAAAUGAAUUAUAUAGAGCCAUAAGCCUAACUUUCAGCUAAUAGUUGAAUGUUGUAGGUCAACCAUUUCUAUUUCUUUUAAGCUGUGCAGCUGAAGUGUGAAGAUCUUGCAAAUUGAAUAUUGAUCAUAUCAACCAGUAAAACAAAUUUAUUGAAAGAAUGCUCUAAGAAAAGAGUGGAGUUGUAUGAUAUGCAGGCGAUAGGAUCUGAGAAAACAUGUAGCUAAAGAUGAACAGUCUUGAACCAAAUUUAAAAUUGAUCAGCAGUUCAUCAUCAAAGCACACAGUAACCAGGUCAAAAUGAUGGAAAAUAUUUAUGCAAAGCUUACAUCAUUCAGUAUAAGCUCUGUCAGUCCCAUCUGAUCUGCAAUACCACUCUCAGACACAGUCUGCAAAGCAAAUUCAUUCAGCUCAAUUAAAAGAUCAUCCAUGACCAUAAAAUCAAUAAAGAGCUCAAAGUGUUUCUGGCCAACUUGUUAAUCUUUUAUUUUCCAUAUCAAUAACAUACCAGCCUGGAAUCUACACUAAUCCUGGAUUUCAGAGCAAGGAAGUAAAAACACUAAAAUCAAAACAAUAGCACAAAAAUCAAAUCAAAGUUGCAAAACAGUUUAACUAUGAUGUAGAGCGAGAGAAAUGGGACUUCUGUUAAAGCAGUUUAUCAGAAUAACCAAAAAAAAUUACAAGACUAUAAUUAUUUGCCUUGCGAGAACUGACUGAAAAAUACAACUGAAUCAAAUGAAAUAAGAAUAAAAGCAAAGUAAAACCUCAGGGAUCAAAGGAAGUGUGGAAAGUUCAACAGCAGGCAAUUCUCCCAACUCACUGUUCAUGCUGUGAAAUGUCUCACCUGCAAAUUUUAGAAAAGAGAUGAGACCACAGGUGCUCCAAGCAAAAUAAAACUAAUAAUAACAUGACACUGAACCAGAGCAAAUCAAGAUGAUCUCUACAAAUAGUAAGAAGUUUAUGUCUGUGGAAAGAUCGGAGAAGGCGCUCCCAAUAAUCGGUAUACUUAAACAAUAUUAUUGAGAUCCUUCAAUAUAUUUGUGGAGAACAAGAAAACCAUUCAAUACCAACUAAAACUCUUGUUGUAUGUCCUCAAGCUCAUUCAAAAUUCUCCUUCAUUUAGAAAACAAAUGUUGACAAAAAUAUUAAUAAUAUACUGGAAUACAUCAAACAUGUGGUGGUGCCAUGAGGUCAACUUGCACAUUAUUGCCUUGUAAUAUGACAGAUAAAAACAUUAAAGUUUCUCAAUCCUCAGUAUUGAGAAAAUAUGAUUUUCACUCUAGAAUAAGAUCACCUUUGUAGCUGAUUCACUUCUGCUUGUAAUGCUCAGGCAUCCAGAUAGAUGAACCAUGACUACACUUUAUUAUAUUAAACACAAGGCACGCAAUCAGCAUGAACAAGGAUGGCAAAUCUGGACCACUUAGAGGAGUACAGAUAGCGAAUGAUUUGGUUGCUACUCUUAACACAAGGUUCACAGGAAAACACAGAAAAGGAAAAUAACAACAUCAUUAACAACAACAACAACAUAUCAGGACACUUUAGAAAUGUAUGGAACAGCCAGUGAAUUGGGUUGCACCAGAUAAUAUAAUAUGUCCUUUCACAAUUAGGGAAGAUCCAAAUUUGCUCCUUAUGGGAGAAGGGAAUUUUUUAGAACUGAUUUUGAGAACUGCGAUCCAUGCAUGCUGCAUGUUCUAGAUUCAAUCACUAAAAACACAAAAUUACAAGAUGCGUCGUUAUUUACAUAGGCAGUGCGUUAUUUAAAUUGAAUGGAAUACUUACUGUUUAGAGUGCUGAACUGUAGACUUCUUUGUGCAUUACAGAUAUGAUCCCUAAAUGAAAUAAACACGGUUUAAUACAAUCACAUUACUGUAGAGCAAAGAGAAAAUUAAGUGCAACAACAUCAGAUAUAAACAUAAAUUAUUACCACAUGUACGAACACCCUGUAGUUUCUUGGAAGCUUAGUGCUAAUUCUGUAGAAAAUUCUGGAUCUCUCCAUGAAAUUAUUGUAUCUGAAAAGGUAAGUGCAGAAAUCAUUUGCUCAGAACUGAAUGAUUCAAUGGAGCAUCAUAUACCAGACAACAUAGUGCUAGUAUUAGCUAAUAAUUAGUAGAAACACACGUUAUAAAUCCCUUUCUGGGAAAACUCAGAUACCUUCUUGUUUUCUGUAAAUGUCAUCUGGGGUUAUACGAUGCAAAAGCAAUGUCUUGUUGUCUUCUUCAUCAAUAACAUACAAGCCUAGAUCGUCUGAUCUCUGCAUGAUAGCAAUUGCAUUCAAUAGAACCCAUGAUAUGGUUAGCUAAUUAUGUUUAUAACAAAAUCAAUUUUCAGUUGCCCAGUUUAAUUGCAUAUAAAUAUUUUGGUGUUACUCUCAAACGCAUAAUCGAGUCAGGAACUUGAACAGACCUCCAAAUAGUCAACAGUAGCAUGCCCAGUCCCCUGGUCAUCCCAUUUUCCAUCGUCAUUCAAACGGUAGACCUUCACCCGCUGCAUUUCCAAAACCAACCUUAAUGAGUCAUUUAUAAAGGACAUGCCAUAAUCACUAAAACUGCAGUAAAAACCUGAAAAAUUUCUCAAGCAGCACCUUAUCUCAAAGUUAAGAAGCAAACGAAAAUGGUUUGUUGUUAAGAAGUCUUCACUUGAUCAAGAAAAAAGGCACCAAUAGAAAACAAAAGGCGUAAUGGAUCAUUUAUAUAAGUUAUACAACUAGUAAAGCCGACAUUGUAAGCCAGAAAUUUACAGAAAUAGAUCCCCAAAUAGAAAUAAACACAGAAAUUAGUGCUCAAUGAAAUUUCCAGUUUGUUGAGGCGGACCAUAGAACAGAGAAGACAACGAUGGAUUGAAAACAUUGCUGGAAUUGCCAGAGGACUAGAGACUAAAGAAGGUUGAGCACAUCAAAGACAAGAUUUAAAUAUAAAGAACAACUUCUGUCCGUGUUAGUUACGUAGGCUCUACUAGAGUUGCACGGAAACGGACUGACCUGCAUCGAGUUGGAGUUCGCUUGCGAUUUCUCUUGUUCGCCCAUAGCAGCAGCAGCGAACUCCUUUCUUUAAGAUUCAAAUUCAAAAAUUUCCAGAUAAAUUCAACCAGGCUGGUCACAAUUAACUAUAAACACGUGAGAUUUGGGUUUAUUACGGAGAGGGAUAGUAUGCAGUAUCGAAAAUUUAGAGCUUCGGGGAUCAAUAGC
rnacentral:lncRNA from 1 species